rnacentral:rRNA from 1 species
GAUGAACGCUGGCGGCGUGCCUAAUACAUGCAAGUCGAGCGAACGGACGAGAAGCUUGCUUCUCUGAUGUUAGCGGCGGACGGGUGAGUAACACGUGGAUAACCUACCUAUAAGACUGGGAUAACUUCGGGAAACCGUAGCUAAUACCGGAUAAUAUUUUGAACCGCAUGGUUCAAAAGUGAAAGACGGUCUUGCUGUCACUUAUAGAUGGAUCCGCGCUGCAUUAGCUAGUUGGUAAGGUAACGGCUUACCAAGGCAACGAUGCAUAGCCGACCUGAGAGGGUGAUCCGGCACACCGGAAAUGGGAACCGGUCCCGGCCCCCUAGGGAGGCAGGCGUAGGGAAUCUUCCGGAAUGGGCGAAAGCCCGAAGGAGCAAAGGCGCGUGAGUGAUGAAGGUCUUCGGAUCGUAAAACUCUGUUAUUAGGGAAGAACAUAUGUGUAAGUAACUGUGCACAUCUUGACGGUACCUAAUCAGAAAGCCACGGCUAACUACGUG